GCCCAGAUGGUUCAAUGGUAGAACGUCAGGGAAAUGACCUGAAGAUUGUGGUUCGAAUCCAUGUCUGGGCA
rnacentral:tRNA from 1 species